GGGGCUACCCGCUGAGUUUAAGCAUAUCAAUAAAGCGGAGGA
rnacentral:rRNA from 1 species